CUGCACACAGGCAGAUGCAGACUCGAGGGGAGCCCCUUGGGGAGGGGAAACAGAAACCUCGUGGAGGGAAAGAAAAGACGGAGCUGGAACCAUCGGGGGGGGCAUCUCAGCCUUUUUUCUCUUGUGAAACCCUCCCCAGUGAGCCCCCAGAGGACAGAAUCGUGUGAGCCUCUGGGAAGGCCGGCCUCGUCCCCCCCCAACCUGCGGCAUUUGUUGCCUCCCUCUAAAACAGGUCUGAGUCCCCCCCUGUCCCCGCCGUCAAAAACCGACUCCAGCAAACGGGCCUGAGCCAGGCCGGCGCGGUGGGCGCCCCCCCGCCGCCUCGGUUCAUCCCGUACGUGCGCACCAACGACGUGUACUGCCUGGACGUGGACGCGGCGCAGCCCCAGCGUCCCAGCGAUGGCGACUGCCCGGAGCUGCUCGUGGGCUCGGGCCAGGCCCGAGAUCCGCUCCUCAACCCCAGCCUGGUGAGGAACAGAGACCGGCAGCAGGCGAUCCUCAAGGGACUGUCCGACCUGCGCCAGAUGAGGAAACUGAGGCAAACUAUGUUGCCAACACACUUGCCCAGGACGGUCUGACGCCCAGAGCUCUUAGCUGAGUCCCCUCCGCUGCCCCCAGCAAAUCCAGUGAAAUUCCAUUAAGAUGAUUCAAACGGAAAAACGGCGUGUUAAGUUAUCUAAAUAUUCAACCCAAAUACAGUCAUGACUCAGCUGAAAUAUUCAUUCAAACAGGAUUUUAUUCGCUGUAAAAGUUACAUUUUUUUAAAAGUUGGAAUCAUUUUAGAAAAUCAAUUGUACAACAAGCGUCAUUGCAACACAGACAACAGGGAGAUGCAGAGCGACGACAGGUCGCACCAAACCUCACCAAACCUGCCUCUCCCUCCUCGGCCAACAGGAAGUGGGCCGCCCCCUCCCCCAUCCCGGACCUCUGCCCGCCCUCCCUGCAGGCAGCCAAGUCAGCUCCAGCUGGACUAGCCUUUGUUCAGACUGGACUUGGUUCUGAUUUGGUUCACUAACGUUCUCUGAGUAAAGCUUCACUAAACGUAUUUAAAAAAAAAGAAAAAGAAAAGAAACGUUUUUAAAAAGAAUCUGCCACAGGCUGCAGCACGUGGAUCAGGAAUGGCAUGAAGGGCUUCGGCAGCCCCAAACUACCUUUUAGGUUAUUUGUUUCAACUCCUCAGAGUAAGGGGUGACUCUGGAAGCUCCUUAGAAAUGGCUCAUUUCCUUAUAAGCAGCUUUACAAAUAGCAGCUGUGGCUUCCUCACAGGGUGGAAGGUCUUAUGGGAAAUGGCAAAACCAAUUCACUUCCAGUUUGAUGGAGACAAAAAAAAAAAAAAAAGGGGGGGGGGGGGGGGCAGGACAGACCUGAUGCAUCCAAGGCCAGUUUGGUAGUCCUGCCUGUCUAGGGAGCGCCCACAUCUUCCUUUAGGGGGAAUUUUUAGCCACCAAAAAGGCAAAUUUCAACACCCCCCCACUCUCAACCCACUUUCAUUCUCAUUCGCCAUCUCUAAGUAACAGAUUCCAGUUUCAAGCAGAAAAAAGACCCAAUGGGGCAGCUGCGUGGCUCAUUGAUAGACAGAGCCAGGCCCAGAGAUGGGAGGUCCUAGGCUCCAACCUGGGCCCAGAUACGUUACUUGUGUGACCCCACACAAGUCAUGGAACUCCAAUUGCCUGGUCCUUCCUGCUCUUCUGCCUUCGGGUCAGUACAUAGUAUUGACCCAAAGGCAGAAGUGAAGGCUCCUUCCACAACUGAGUGAGAUGGUCUAAUGGCCAUAACGCCGAGGCAGGCAAAGGCAAGGCCUACGAGGGACACCCCACCUCCCAAGAGUGGCUGUGACACUGGUUGGGUUUUAUUUAUUAAGUCCAGCUCUAGAGCUAUUCAGACCCACGUAAGAGUCAUAUUUUGUGUAAAAUCUCAAAGCUAGGAAGGACGUGACUUGUAAUGCAUGAACUAAUGGCCCCGUCUGAUUUCAGGGCCUUCUCCAGAAGCAGAAAGAGCUGGAAACUCAUCUCAUCCCCUUAGUUCCAAGUCAAGAGGAGUUUGAUUCUCCGUUCUAACAUCCACAAGAGAGACGACAGCGAGCCAAGCUCUAGCGGAUUACGGCUCUCGGCUCUUUAGCUUAACAGCAUUACAUUCAUGAAAUUAUAAAAUAAUGGAUUGAUUCAGCAGCCAUGUUUCUAUACUUGAAAUUGUUCAGGUUACUUUAUUGGAAAAUGACCUAUUAAAAACUUUGCAGAAUGUAAAUAUAUUUCUUCAAAGAAUAAAAUGGUAAAUAAAACACUUUUGUAAAAAAUUCAGCAAUUCUCAUUCAUUUAUGCUCUAAUCCACCCAGUUAUAAAUAAGUUUUACAAAAGAUAAGAUUCUAUUUACACUUACCUUAAUGUGGUCUGGAGUUCGGUGGUUUAUUACAAAAUACUUCACAACAAUCUCUAUGGAAGACAUGCAUUUUACAUAUUUGAUUACAUGAAGGUGGAUGCCAUUGUCCCCGAGUCUGGUAGGAGGAGAGCCUAUGUGACCACAACUCCAUUUAAUUACCAAAAUUUGGCCAAAAAGAAACACAGAAAUGGGUGCAGCUCAAAAAAAAAAAAAAAAAAAGGGUAGAAUCAUUCCUUCUCU